GGGGCACACGUCCUCUACCUAUCAAAUCGAGCGGACCUCUUCGGAGGUCAGCGGCGGACGGGUGAGUAACACGUGGGCAACCUGCCUGUAAGACUGGGAUAACUCCGGGAAACCGGAGCUAAUACCGGAUACUAUGUCAAACCGCAUGGUUUGACAUUCAAAGACGGUUUCGGCUGUCACUUACAGAUGGGCCCGCGGCGCAUUAGCUAGUUGGUGAGGUAACGGCUCACCAAGGCGACGAUGCGUAGCCGACCUGAGAGGGUGAUCGGCCACACUGGGACUGAGACACGGCCCAGACUCCUACGGGAGGCAGCAGUAGGGAAUCUUCCGCAAUGGACGAAAGUCUGACGGAGCAACGCCCCGUGAGUGAUGAAGGUUUUCGGAUCGUAAAACUCUGUUGUCAGG
rnacentral:rRNA from 1 species